CAAAAGGGCUUCAAUUACGAAAGUGAUUCGGAUGCAGCCAGCAUUGGUUGUCGUUCGCGGAAUCUAAAUCAAGAGAUUUCGGAAGCAUAAUUUUUGUUCUAGGGAUCGCUAUUAAUCUUAAGUUAUGGCGGCCCA